rnacentral:misc_RNA from 1 species
GAUGAAGAACGUAGCAAAAUGCGAUAAGUAAUGUGAAUUGCAGAAUUCAGUGAAUCAUCGAAUCUUUGAACGCACAUUGCGCCAGCUGGUAUUCCGGCGGGCAUGCCUGUUCGAGCGUCAUUUCAACCCUCAAGCCCCCGGGUUUGGUGUUGGGGAUCGGCUCUGCCCUUCUGGGCGGUGCCGCCCCCGAAAUACAUUGGCGGUCUCGCUGCAGCCUCCAUUGCGUAGUAGCUAACACCUCGCAACUGGAACGCGGCGCGGCCAUGCCGUAAAACCCCAACUUCUGAAUGUUGACCUCGGAUCAGGUAGGAAUACCCGCUGAACUUAAGCAUAUCAAUAAGCGGAGGA